UCAUUUGGAUGAAUGUGCGAGCAUCUGCAAGAGCUGAGAGAAACAAAUGAGGCUAUAUCUCCAUGUACUGUUCACAUAUGGCUUCAUGUUCACCUUAUAUGGUUCUGGAAAGACUUCCUUGGACUCAUACUUUUGCACAGGUGCCCAAAAUACGGCCUUGAACUCCAACUUCUGCCCAGUGAAUUCGAGCUCGGCAAACGGCUGUGUGAAAACCGAAUGGGACUCUAACAUAUGCACAGGUG